CCCUUAGAUGUUCUGGGCCGCACGCGCGCUACACUGAUUCAUGCAACAAGUUUUGUCCUUGGCUGAUAGGCCUGGGUAAUCUUUGAACGUGAAUCGCGAUGGGGAUAGAUGAUUGCAAUUAUUCAUCUUCAACGAGGAAUUCCUAGUAAACGCAAGUCAUCAGCUUGCAUUGAUUACGUCCCUGCCCUUUGUACACACCGCCCGUCGCACCUACCGAUUGAAUGGUCCGGUGAAAUCUUCGGAUCUGAGAGAUGUCUGAUUAAUUUCGGACGCCUUUUGGAAAAGUUGCUUAAACCUUACCAUUUAGAGGAAGGUGAAGUCGUAACA
rnacentral:rRNA from 1 species